AGGCUUCCUGCGGGAACCGGAGCGCUGAGCCUCCGCUCCCGGGCUCGGCUGUUUCUCUGUCCGAUGCCAGCCAAGAGAUAAAUAGACGCCCCAAAAGAAAAGAAAAAAGAGAAAACAUCUUCUCUAGGGCCGCUCCCGGGGAGGGCAGUGGCCGCAGCAGCUGGGGCGUGAAAUCCUAUUUAUACAGACAUUUUUUAACCUGAAGAUGCCUUUACACACCUUCUAAACUUCAUCUUAUGAAGAAGCUAAAUCCAGUUAAACAACUUGUCCAAUGUCAUAGAGCUGGAUACAAACAGCUUUUGUGCAUUUCCUCUUUUGAAGCUCAGAGAGGUGAGGGGGAGGUGCUCAAGGCUUUAUGGCUUCUAAGUGAUGAAGCUGUGAUGACACUCCAUCUCCCGACUGUGGAUCCCUGUUCCGGACCCUGUCAGCCUUUCAAGUUGUGAAGCUUCUUUUGAAGUGCAAAGAACUCUUAGCCUAAAAAAGCUCCCUAAGCAGCAGCAGAAUGAAACCUGUUUUUACACUUGGAUUUUUAUCUACUUUGUGAUCAGGAAAUAGAAAUAUUACAGGCCCUAGGAUAAACUUAGCUGCUGAUCUAAACUCCUCAGUUGGGUCUGUGCAGAAAGACCCUAGAUUCUGGGCUUUAUAAAAAACUGACUCUGCAGUUUAAUAACUGUAGGCUACCUAUUUCUACUGUCAGCAUGCAAUUGUCAGCUACCACAGCACUUCUCUCUUCCUCCAUGUCUCCGCCCAACCCUCAUCAGGUUACAAACACCUUUUGACAGCAGGCUGGUGGUGGUGAGGAAACUCCAACCAAGGAGUGAGGACAAUACCCAGGGGAUGGUGGAGCAAUGACAUGGAAGGUCCCUGAGUCCCUGGAUAACCUUGUGAAAAAAAGUCACCCAUCUCCCUCCAUAUUGUAUAUUAGAAACAAAACCCUAUUUCAUUUGAUCCACUGAAUUUUUAAGUCUCCAUGUUAUAGCAGCUUAGUUUAUAUCCUAAUUAAUAAAAUAUGUAAACAUCAAUAAAAUAUUU